AUUGAACGCUGGCGGCAGGCCUAACACAUGCAAGUCGAACGAGUGGCGGACGGGUGAGUAAUAUCUGGGAACCUGCCUGGUGGCGGGGGAUAACUACUCGAAACGGUGGCUAAUACCGCAUACCAUCGGAUUGGCCCAUAUGGGAUUAGCUAGUAGGUGGGGUAAAGGCUCACCAAGGCAACGAUCCCUAGCUGGUCUGAGAGGAUGACCAGCCACACUGGGACUGAGACACGGCCCAGACUCCUACGGGAGGCAGCAGUGGGGAAUAUUGGACAAUGGGCGAAAGCCUGAUGCAGCCAUGCCGCGUGUAUGAAGAAGGCCUUCGGGUUGUAAAGUACUUUCGGCAGAGAAGCGGUACCUGCAGAAUAAGCACCGGCUAACUACGUGCCAGCAGCCGCGGUAAUAC
rnacentral:rRNA from 1 species